rnacentral:rRNA from 1 species
ACAGAGGUCCCAAGCGUUGUUCGGAUUCACUGGGCGUAAAGGGUGCGUAGGCGGUCAGGAAAGUCUGAUGUGAAAUCUCGGAGCCUAACUCCGAAACUGCAUUGGAAACUAUCUGGCUUGAGAGUUGGAGGGGAGACUGGAAUUCUCGGUGUAGCAGUGAAAUGCGUAGAUAUCGAGAGGAACACCAGUGGCGAAGGCGAGUCUCUGGACAACAUCUGACGCUGAGGCACGAAAGCCAGGGGAGCAAACGG